rnacentral:rRNA from 1 species
AGGCUCGUCGCGGGCGAGAGCUCCUAUCGACCCCGCGGUUUGGUACCUCGAUGUCGGCUUUUCCCAUCCUGGCCCUGCAGCAGGGGCCAAGGGUGAGGCUGCUCGCCUAUUAAAGGGGAACAUGAGCUGGGUUUAGACCGUCGUGAGACAGGUCGGACUCUGCCUGAUGGAAGCGUGGAUACUUGAGGGGAAGUUGCUCCGAGUACGAGAGGAACAGAGCAGCGUGGCCUCUGGUUUAACGGUUGUCUGAUAAGGCAGGCCGUGCAGCUAAGCCAUUUAGGCUAACUCCUGAAAGCAUCUAAGGAGGAAACCUAUCCUGAGAAAAGGUAUCCGGUCGUAAGACAAAGGGUGGCAGCAGAAGACUGCUUUGAUAGAACAGCAGUGUAUGCCCCAAGGUUCGCCGAGGGGCGAGCUGGCUGUUACUAACAACCCAAUACAUCAGUCAG